AGCUUGCUCUUAUGAAGUUAGCGGGGGAUCCCUUUAAAAGAUGUGUGGUAAAUAGUGAUAAGAGUGGGAUAACCCCGAGAAACCGGGGCUAAUACCGGAUAAUAUUUUGAACUGCAUAGUUCGAAAUUGAAAGGCGGCUUCGGCUGUCACUUAUGGAUGGACCCGCGUCGCAUUAGCUAGUUGGUGAGGUAACGGCUCACCAAGGCGACGAUGCGUAGCCGACCUGAGAGGGUGAUCGGCCAAACUGGGACUGAGACACGGCCCACACUAAUACGGGAGGCAGCAGUAGGGAAUCUUCCGCAAUGGACGAAAGUCUGACGGAGCAACGCCGCGUGAGUGAUGAAGGCUUUCGGGUCGUAAAACUCUGUUGUUAGGGAAGAACAAGUGCUAGUUGAAUAAGCUGGCACCUUGACGGUACCUAACCAGAAAGCCACGGCUAACUACGUGCCAGCAGCCGCGGUAAUACGUAGGUGGCAAGCGUUAUCCGGAAUUAUUGGACAUAAAGCGCGCGCAGGUGGUUUCUUAAGUCUGAUGUGAAAUCCCACGGCUCAACCGGGGAGGGUUAUUGGAAAAUGGGAGAUUUGAGUGCAGAAGAAGAAAGUGAAAUUCUAUGUGGUACGGUGAAAUGCGUAGAGAUAUGGAGGAACACCAGUGGGGAAGGUGAAUUUCUGCUCUGUAAUUGACAUUGAGGCGCGAAAGCGUGAGGAGAAAAGAGGAUUAGAAUCCGCUGCUAUUACACGCCGAUAAACGAUAAUGGCUAAGUGUUAGAAGGUUUCCGCCCUUUAGGGGUGAAAUUUAAGGCAUUAAAUACUUCCCGCGUGGGAAGUUAGGGCGAAAGGUUUAAAACUUAAAAGAAAUUGACGGGGGCCCGCACAAGGGGGGGAACCAUGUGUUUUAAUU
rnacentral:rRNA from 2 species